rnacentral:rRNA from 1 species
GGGCUCACACAAGCGGUGGAGCAUGUGGCUUAAUUCGAAGCAACGCGAAGAACCUUAUCCUGGGUUUGACAUGCAAGGAUUAGUCUGGUGAAAGCCAGAUGACACCUUCGGGUGGAACUUGCACAGGUGCUGCAUGGCUGUCGUCAGCUCGUGCCGUGAGGUGUUAGGUUCAGUCCUUCAACGAGCGCAACCCUUGUCGCUAGUUGCCAGCGGGUAAUGCCGGGAACUCUAGCGAGACCGCCGGCGUCAAGUCGGAGGAAGGUGGGGAUGACGUCAAGUCCGCAUGGCCUUUAUGCCCAGGGCUGCACACGUGCUACAAUGGCGAGUACAAUACGAUGCAAUACCGCGAGGUGGAGCAAAUCGCAAAAGCUCGCCCCAGUUCAGAUUGCAGGCUGCAACCCGCCUGCAUGAAGUCGGAAUCGCUAGUAAUCGCUGAUCAGCUACGCAGCGGUGAAUACGUUCCUGAGCCUU